UAUAUAAUGUUAAUAUCUUGAUAAAUAAUAUUAAAUAAUUUUUCAUCAAAUCAAGUGUUGUAAAAUUUAUUUAUCUGCAUGAAAAGUAAUUUAUUCAAAAGUGAAGUGUUAUAACAGACAAAUUGAUAUUACUACUACAACAAUUGUUAAACGACAGUUCAAUGAGUGUCGAAUAAGACGGUCAAGUUCCUUUGAGUUGCUAAGAGAGAAAAAUAACGACAAAAUGUGUGAAACGGUACCGAGAACAUGGUUAGGCAAACCAGAAUUACAUUACAGUAGCAUAGGAGUUCCUGCAAGUUCACUAUCACCUCCUGCUACCCUCUCGCCGCCAAGUAGUCCGAGUAUUUUGCCAACUUCACCCUGGAGUCCAGGUGGUCUCACCGGUGGUAGUAAUAGCUCCUGCAACGGAAUCCAAAAUCCACCGACGGCUGGUCAGCUUGCACCUGACCAACGAUUCGGGGCCUUCACCUUUGUAUCCAACUAUAAUUCUGAUUUAAAACUUCAGAAACAAACACACACUCCAGAAGCUACAUCAAGAAAUCUUACAGACAUGUGUUGUGGUUUGAUGUAUGGUGGAUACGGCACAACCUGGUGGGCUCAUCAUGCGGUGGGCCUUUUGCUGCCUCAUUCUCUUUUACCGCCACGAAUUCCUUCGCAGUCGACGACAUCCACAACUGAAUGCACGCCAAUUCAUCACGAACCAGCUAGUCCAGCCAAAGCAACCUCACCCAUCAGAUGCACACCCGAUCGAUCUCCAUUCGUUGUUGAAGGUGCUGCGCGUUUUUCAGAAGAUGAAGUACCAUUAAAUCUUAGCACAAAACCAAAUGAUGUAUCGUCAAGUAUUAAUCGCAAGUGCGAGAUAUGGUCACCAGGUUCAGUAUGUGAACGUGAAGCGAGGGAAACUACUACUCAGAAUUCACCGUUAACUACCACACCAAUAAUAACACGGCAGAUUCACCAUUCACCCCUCACACCUCCAUCAUCUAACGAGCGAACAUUUCAGUGCAAACAAUGUGGUAAAGCGUUUAAGAGAUCUAGUACAUUAAGCACGCAUCUUCUCAUUCACUCAGAUACCCGACCUUACCCUUGUCAAUACUGCGGUAAAAGAUUCCAUCAAAAGUCUGAUAUGAAGAAGCAUACGUAUAUUCACACUGUACUUACAGAUCCUUCUUUCUUCACCUCUCCUCGCGAUCAUCUCCUACUAUGUGCCCAACCCAAACGAUAGACUUAUACCUUUUCCGCAAACUAUAUUGCAUUUACACGAUGAUACAGCCAACCAUAUUACAGUGAGAUCUUUAGUCAAGGAGAGAAGCCACAUAAAUGUGUCGUAUGUGGAAAAGCUUUCUCACAAAGUAGCAAUUUAAUAACACAUAUGAGAAAGCAUACAGGUUACAAACCCUUUCAAUGCGGACUUUGUGAUAAAGCAUUUCAAAGAA
rnacentral:misc_RNA from 1 species